AUACUUUUCUUCUUCGUGCGGCAGCCAGAACUAUUACCGUGUUGCUUGUCUUUUUCAGUUAUCCCAACGAGUUGGCGAGCGUCAAGUUCCUGGCGAGAAUAUCAUCCGUUUUCUAUAUGGAGGCGGAGUAGCGAUCAUCUUAGCGCCCUUUCAUCAGCAUCUAAUCGGACGGUGUGGAUUUGUCCAUAUUUUCCAUGGGAGCUGGUGAGGGCUGGUAGAUCAGACAUUC
rnacentral:snoRNA from 1 species